rnacentral:lncRNA from 1 species
GAUGAUGAUUGUUCCAAAGAUGUAAGAUCAAAACCUCAUUGUGUAUCUAUAGUUUAACAUUUCCUUUAUCCAUAUCUAUGAUCAUUCUUGUUAUUUUUAAGAAAGGUCUCUUUAAGAUCAAAGAGACUUCUUUUCAUUUUUAUAUAUCCACGACCACAAAGUAUGUAGAGAAUGUAAAUUUAUCAACUUUAACUACCAUCUCUUCAAUGAUUCCCAUUGGUAUUUCAAAAACUUCACUCAUUCUACUAUUUCUCUAUCUUUAUUUUAAAAAGAAAUUGUAUUAUAUAUAAACACAAAUUCUGGUCUAUUUUUCAUACUUGCAAUGUGAAGCACUAGUUGGUAUUUUAUUCUUACAUUAAUUUUUUUUUCUUUUACAUUAAUUCGUGAUUGGAUGAACUUGUCAGUUACAUUUUUCGUUUUUUUUCUUUUUAGGCAUAACCAAAUUUAUAAUGGAAGGCCAAAGAAUGUCCACUUUUAGCAGAUGAUCAUGACCACUAGAUUGAAUUACGAUAUUUGUUCUAUUGACAGUUUGGACUAUGGUGAUCUUUAGGGUAUGGAUAAAUUGAAAAGGGUAACAAGUAUAGGUAAAUUUCAGAUUUUCUUUGAUUACACACUUUGUUGGUUUCUUGAUGAUUUUUUAACUUUUUCUUCUUGUAGUGUGAUUGGAGUAGUUUUGGGUCAUUCUACUAUUCGUCGUCAUUCUACUAGAUCCAAAUGAUAUGUUAAUAUAGGUGACACAUCUACAGAGGAAAUACUUCAAGAUAAAAGCACUAGCUCUUCUAAAGAUAAGGGAAAAGCUAUACUAAAGUCUGUGCAAGAGGAGUCAAGAUAAACUCAAACUAGGAAGUUACUCGUAGAAGAGUGGCUCUUGAUAAAAAUGAUGAAGCAAAGCAUGUAAACGACGACUCUACUUUUGAGGUAUACUAAUGGAAACUGCUUUAGAAAUCAGUUAUGCAUUAGAACUCAAAUAAUUUCUGGUAGUUAUGUAUUUUUGUUUAUGAUACAACUAGUGUAUUGGUGUAUUUGUAUGUUAUUGGAGACUUAUCUUGGGUGAAGGCCUUUGGUUUGUACCAUUUCUUCCAUUUAAACUAACUUUUAUAUCUUCAACUAACUUAAACAAUAUAAUUGCUUAAAAAUUAUAUUUUAUCAAAAAAUAAUCCUAGCCGUGGAGUUUAUGAAACCAAAUUUCUUUAUCAUUGAUUAAAAUUGUAUUAGAAAUUAUAUUGAGAUACAUUAAUAAUAUAUUUAAUAAAAGAAAGGUUACUUUCAAUCUUUAAUUAAGGUCAUGAAGAUGUUGCAUAAUAACAUACCCAACUUUAUGUAAAUGCAGUGGUCAAUAAGAAUCAAACCUAAAUCUUUAUGUUUGUUAUUCUAAUACCUUCUAGGAUCUUAAUGAAUAAGAUGAAUGAAUUAGUAAGUAAUAUGUACUUCUUAUAUUAAUAUAAUUAUUUGAUAUUAAUACGAAAUCGUGUUAAUCACAAAUUACACACAUUUUUUACAUUAAUAAUUCAAUGUUUAUGUUUUCUUUAUGAAAAAAUUAUACCUUUAUAGUAUUACGAAACAUUGAAAAUUAAAUACAGAAAAGUUGAAGGACAGUAGUGUAUUAGUGUUUGGUGAUAGAAGAAGAACAAAGGGUCUGAGAAAAUUGUUGGACUAUUUUGAUUCAAUAUUUUUUUCAUUUUAUCACCUACUUGUUUAUAUAUGCACCUCCUAGAAGUAACGAGAGUUUUCAAACCGUCGGCAAUAACGGGAGUUUUCAAAUCGCUGGGAAUAACGGGAGUUCAAAUCGUCGAAAAUAACAGUGGUUUCAAGACCGUCGGAAAGUGAUUAUUUUUCAGGAAUUCAGAGAAACCACCAGUAAUCAAUUAGUGAUGCUAGAUCUUCCAGAAAAAAGCAAACCGCGAGUAACACACUUAAUGGGGUUUAAAACCGUCGGAAACUCCAAAAUACAGUCCCCGUUAAAAAUAAUUUUUUUAGUGUGUUAAUCUAGUUAAAAUGUGAAGUUUUAUACUACUAAAAGUUUAGUAUGAAUUUUAUAAAAAAAAAAUAAAGAAAUUUAUCUUACUUUUUUCUCCUAAUCUAAACUCCUACUCUCUCUCCUCUUUUUUUCUUUUCUUUUUCUUCUUCUUCUUUUGGUCUCUUACUUUUCUUUAUUCCAUCCAAAUAAAAACUAAAAGAAUUAUUUUUUUGUCAUAAGUAUGUUGGACCUUUAACUUAUGAGUAUAGUAAGGCCAUUUAUUACCUAAAAGCAAAGCAGCAUACGUUUAUUCUUAUUUUUAGAAAAAGAGUAAUGUUUUACUACUAUGGAUGGAGAAACGUUUAACAAGAAUAAAAGAGUCACAUAAUACCCUUGGUUUGUCUUGAGAAAGUAUUUUUAUUUAUACAAGAGGAUACAUUAUGCAUUUGAUAAUUUCUUUUACUGUCAUCUUCUAAGUGGAUAAAUUUAUCUUUUAAUAAAUAAAAAUAAUAAUUUAUUUAUUCAUUGAAUAAAACAAAUAACUGAAUAAUUUUUCUUUAUUUCAAAAUAACUAAAUAACUUUUUUUUAAAAUAACAACUAUUUAAUCUUUUUAAUACUAUUUUUACAAAAUCAUAUAUAUAUAUAUAUAUAUAUAUAUAUUAUUCAUCCAUACCAUCAUAUACAUCCAUUAUAUAAAGUAGAUAUGUCAUUUGGUAACUUUUGUUUUUGGUGUGAUUGAGCAAUUUUAUCAUUUAAUAAAUAAAAAAUAAUUUACUUAUUUAAUAAAAUAAUUAAUUAAAUAGUUUCUCUUUAUUUCGAAAUAGCUAAAUAAUUUAUCUUUUUAAAAAUAACGGUUAUAUAAUUUUUAAUACUAUAUAUAUUAAAUUAUAUUUUAUUUUUUAAUUAAUUAUUCAUAAAAACUAAUAAAACUAUAAAAAUAAUAAAGUUAUAAAAGUUAGAAAAAUGUAUAUAUUUUAAUGUAAAUGUAAAUACUCGUACGCCUAUGUGUUUUUGCUAGUUUCUAAUUAUAGAAAUAUUAUUUUAUUUAUUAUUUUCAAAACUUAGUAUAAAAAAUAAUAAAAAGUAGAUUUUACUUUUCUCGGUUUUAUUAUUUACUUUCAUCAUACAUAGUUCUUUUUAAAACAAACAAUAAAGUAAAGUUUUAAUAACUCAGUAAAAAUCGAAAACAUUUUCUUAAGCUAAACAAUCCCUUAAUUUCUCAUUGUGGAUAAUUCACCCAAACUAGAUUAUACUUCAUUUUUCUAAACGCCAACUUUUUUGCUGCUGUUGGAAAGUAAAAAAGAACAAUUCCAAACUGGAACAAAAUCUCUAUCCUUUGGCAAAUGCUUUCAGUAACACAGUGAUGAGGAAAAUUUGAAAAAAAAAAUGAUAACAAACAAUAAAUGAAUAACUUAAACUGAGGAACAGUUUGAGGCUAUCAUCUGUCACUUCACUUAUCUACUAAUUUGCGUGCACGCUGGUUGGCACCUUUGACUCUAGAGUUCAUCUCAUCAACAUCGUCACCAAGAUGAUCAAGAGCUUUGUUUUGCCUGCAGUUAUCACAGUACAUUCACCAUUACUGAAUCAAAUAGUUCUCUCAGAUAACACAACUAUUCACAAAUAUGUAAUUUACAACAUCCAAAUUUUUCAUGACAAUGACUCUUCAGCAUUCAACUCUAGUCAAAUUUUCCCACACAUUCACACACUGAACGAUUUUAAACUAUCUGAUGAACAUUACACUGUUCAAAUUUUAAAUGUGCAUAUAUAAAUAAAGUGUAUGAAGGACUAUAAUACAUUCAUAUAUCUAACUAUUCUUGAAAGAUCACACUGUUUAUAUUUUGUUUCAGUAAAUUAGAGUUAAAACAUGCUUUAAAUUGUGAGUCUAAGUAGGUUUAAUGAUUAACUUAACUUCACAAACCAACUUAUAAGAUGAUAUUUGCACCACACUUAUGUAUUAUAAUUUGAGGUUAUCACUGCAUGAAUAUGUGAAAGUUUGACUACACUGAAUCCGGUUUCCAUAAUAUUUUGUUCAUUUAUUCUUCAUGGUUAAGAUUAUCAGUUGCUCCAUUCCAUAAGCAGAAUAUGAUGAAUACCAACAAUAAACAAUGCAACAGAAAUCUAUAUUGGUAAGAAUAGUUACCUGUCAAGUUCAGAUCCCAUGCCAAUUGCCAUACCCUUCAAAUCACCCAAGAUGUCACUUAGAUCCGAGAGUGCAUCGUCUUGUUUAGCUUUCUCAUACUGUUUUAGUAACACCACGAGAUAAUACAGAGAAAAGGUUACUUGAGAAAAACCAAUACUUAAUAGGCAUAACAUUACAUAGAACAAAGCACUUACAUCCACUUUCUGAUAGGCACUGUCAGAUUCAUUAGGAGGUGUGGUAGGGGCUGAGCGUCCCUUAGGCACAGGAGCUAAACCCAACUUCUCCCUAUCUUCCUUAUUAUGUAUAUCCUUUUUCCCCGUCUUUUCUGUUCAGAUACCACAUUCCAUUACAUUAUUGUAUGUUGCCUGGCCUAUGGAAGAAAAUAACCAAAAUUUGAGUUGUAAAAGUGAAGGAUGAGGAACAUAAACCUGGUGUGAUUACAGGGCCUUGGAUAUUCUUGGUCUUCUUUGGCUUCCAGGGUUUGGAGAACAUGCCCCCAAGAUUGUUUAAGAGUUUUUCACCCUGAAGAUCACAAUUUAAGUUUUUGGAACUAUAAAUACCACAUUAGAGUUAUAUAAACAAAAACGAAAUCAUAGCUUUCAUUUUCUUUUCAUUUUUUAUACUCUUACCCCUUCUUCAAAGGGUCUCAAUUCAUUCGGAUUGUUGUUGAUAUUGUCUCUAGUAUCUAGGUUUAAAAUUGAUGCAACCAUGAUAGAUUGUAAUGAAAACUAUAUCAAAACAAUAACUAUAUCCAUAAGUCAGAACCUUGAUAGCUUAGGUAUACAAUAUUAGCAAACAAAGGAACCUAUAUGUUCUACGUGAAUGAUCAAAAUGCAACAGCAGGGGCAUUAUACUCCAAUCACAAUUGGUUUUUUUAUCUCACCAAUGCACAUAAUAAAAGUUUGUAUUAAAGAUUAUUUAAGUUGUCCAAGUUGAAAAUGGUGAAGGCCAUUAAAAUGUUAUUUAUCAAAAUGCUGCCUUAUUAGAGAUACAAAAAAAUAACCUAAACUUUGUACUUAGAAAUGAAAGCAGAUAUACUCAUACCCUACUCAAAUCCUUCUCAGUAUCAACAACCAUAUUGUGGGUCCUGGUUAUCUGAUCACCCUGCUCGUGCAACAUCUCAAGGGUCUUUGUGGCUUCCCCUCUGAUGUCCUCAGCAAUCCUCAAACAAUUGUCGACACUCUUUGUUGUCUCCUCAGACUUGUACACUGCAUAGUUUUCCAGCUCCUGAACACUUUGGUUCUCUAGCCCCCCAGAGUCACGGAAACCAUUCUUGUACCUGUCUUUGUCUUUUGAUGCAGUGGAGGAAGGCUUCCUCCCCCAAUCAUCAUCAUCUUCAUCGAAAUAGUUUCCUUUGGAUUUUUGAACUGGGAGGACAGGUUCUGAAACUGUUCUUUUUUCUGCAGUAAGGGUUGUCUCCUUAUCCGCUUCAGUUGGUGGUGGCGCUGCUUUUCUAAACCCAAACAUUUUUCACCUGCUAGCACAAUCCAACAGCAUAGAAACAGAAAAAGUAAAUUAAGUAAUCAACAUAGUGUUUAAUUUUGAUACACAAGUCAAAAGACUUUAACACAUUCAAUUAAUUAGAAAUCACCAUUAGUAUGAUAAUGCACAAAUAGAAGGCACUCUAAAAAAUUGUUAUACUAUUUGUACAUUCUAAUUAAAUACAUUAACAUACAGCAUUACUUUUACACUAUUACAUGGAAUGGCUCUUUCAAAACUACUAAGACUGAUUUACUAAGUGCUGUAAGAAAUAUGAACCACAAAUAGAUACUUACUAAAGAUAAACAGAAGCAUAAACAUUCAAAUUCAGAAAAAUAAAAAUAUAAAAACUAGCCAAGACAUUUUGGUGCAUGCCCAGAUAACCCACGAUCACUGCUACAAAAAGAAUGCUUUUAGCAACUAAGGUAAAAAAAAAGAGUCGACAAUGAACUCCUGCAUCUAAGCUUAUGUUUGAUUUUCUAUUUGCAAAAUUUGCAAAGACUACUUGAGAUUUUCAAAAUUCAACUAAACAAUGUUGUUUAGGCAAUGGACAUAGACAAAAUGUGGAAUUGGGGAAGAUGUUGAACAAGAUGUACAUGGAAGAAAAAAGGUGAUAAAGUAAAUGGUAGCUAUUUCUAUUUUUGUUUUUUAAAACACCUAUUUUUGGAAAUAAUUUUCAAAACUCCAUAGAUUUUGGAUGAGAAAUUGAUUGUUGAAUAACGUAAAAUGGUUGUAGAAAACCGUCUCAAAAACCAGAAAGAUACUCACACAUAACAUGUCCUAAAUUUCUAAAAUCACUAGUUUACUUGCUGGCGAAGGUAACACAACCAAUAACACACCACACUAAGAUAAAAUUCCGUGCUUUCAUGAAUCAAAGUGCAAUGCUUCAGAAAUAGUACCACAAAUUAAAACAAAUGCAAUCAAAGAAACCCAUCAUGCAGAACGCAGCAAAGCUUUUACCAAGUAAAUUAUCUGUGAAAGCUGAAAAAUUGUGAGAAGGGUACCUGAAUUUUGAGGCCAACAAGGUCAACAGUGGUACACAAACCCAAAUGUGGCAAUGGGUUUGCGAACUAAAGAGGAACAGGGGAUGGUUGAAACUGAAUGGAAAAGACUGAGAAUUGUGUUCGUUUCGUUGAAAAAUAAGAAACCGAUGAAAGGUGUCGCGGAAAAACAGAGACCCACGCGUUGUUUCAACCGUAAACAACAUUUGACAAUUUUAGUUGUUACAAAGCUAAAAUUAAUUUUGACUCAAAAUAUUAAGAUUAAAAGCCUUUUUUUUCUUUAAUUUUUUUAAUUAGAUCGCCGUAUAAUUAUUUUUAGUCCAGUUAUGUAUUAAAAUUAAACUCUACAAUCAUUUAUAGAUUAAGAUGAAAUCCUUUGUACUAAAAAACACAAACGAUUUUUAUGAUAUACUAUUUUAUUUUAUUCAGUUAAUUUAAUUGAUGUAAUAAUUUUUAUUAUUUUAUAUAUUAAUUCUAAAUUUAAUAUAUUAUAAAUACUUUUUUAUAUACCAUAUUAUUUAAGUUUUUUUUGUUUAAAUUUGAAAACAUAUUUAAGAUAUUUAAAGUUAAUCUAGAAGGAACUUGAAGUCAUAAUAGAAAACAAAUUAGAUGGGAGAGAGAAUAGAGAAUUUGAAAAUUAAAAAUAGAACUUCAGAGUCAGACAACAAGUUUUGAGAAAUAUUUGAAAAUGAAUAAAACAAAAUAAAAAUAAAUAAAAGGGUUUUAUAUAGAUUAAAUGGUAUACUGGAAACUAAAAUCUGAAUAUAAAAAAAAAGGAAUUAUCUUUAUGAAUAAUUAUAGAUUUAUAGAGGGACUUAUAUUUUAAGGUGUCUUUCUUCCUAAUAAUUUGAACAACUAUAUAUAAUUUUUUUUAAAGAAAAAUACUUUGUAAGAUGAAAAUACUUUAAGAUUGAUAGAUAAAUAUAUUUUCAAUAGCUAACUAUCGGUAACAAUGUAAAUGUAAAUUCCAGGGGAUAAAAAUAUUCAAAAGAAAAUAUAUGAAUAAAAGAAACCUACGAGUUCAAUAGUUUUUGUAUCAAAAUAUAUAUAUUUUUUUGCAUGUUUUGAAGUAUUUAAAAAGAAUAUCUGUCAAAAAAACUAUCAGAGGAUUAAUUUAUAAAAUUGAAAAAAAAGGGACUAAACCUCAAGCUUAUUUAUGUUUAAAUAUAUUACUAUUAACCUAUGGGUGAUGUUUAGACAAAAAAAAAAUGAUUGAUAUAAACAAAAGAGUAUUAUGAGUAUACAGUAUAUACUAUUAGUAUAAAGAAAUUUUACACCAUCAUUCAAUUAUAAAUUUAUGAUUUAAUCAAUAAUGUAUUUGAAUUCAGCUCUACUUUUAUACCUAAUUAUUUAUUUGAUAUAUGGUCUUUAAAUAAUUUUAAAAAAUAAACUAAAACUGUAUAAUAAAAUAAUAAACAUUUAUUUGAAUUUUCUCAUACACCUUAAUGAGAAAGCAACUCUAAAUAUUAUAAUUAUUAUUAUUUACGUAGAAUAGAUAUAUUAAAAUUAUUUAUAUAUCCCUUUAAUAUGGAAGAAAACUAAAAAAAUAGAAAUUCAUUUAUUUGCAUUGUAAAAAAAAUUAAUGACAUCUUUAUUUAAGAUAUAAGGUCAAAUAAUCAUGAGAUAUAAAUGGGCUUCAUCCUAGCUUAAGGUAACCGAAUUUUAAAGGACUUUUUUUUCACCCUAUACUUUCUUUUUCUACACUUCUAUAAAUAUUAAAAUCUCUACUUUAUUCUUUGGUUUAAAUUUUUUUUCGGAUUGUUGAAUUCGAAAACAUUAAAAUUAUACAAUCCAAAACUUAAAAAUUCAUACUAUAAAAUUAGAAUAAUAAUUUGAAAAUCAUUUUUUACUUUUUAGAUUGUGUAAAUUUAGAAAUUAAUAUUUUAUUUUAGAUUAUAUAAUCAAAAAUAAUUUUUUAUAUUAGAAAAUCACUUUCAGAUUUAAAAGUCAUUUUUCAUAAAAGAAAAAUUUUCUAAAAUUAUUUUUUGGAAAAUUUUUUUUUAGAUUGUGCAAUUCAAACACAUUACAGAAGCAUGUUACUAGAAUCCAGAAAUACAACACAGAUAAGGAGGUGACACCGACAAAAAGGGGUAACCAUUAACAAGGGGCAGUUUUUUCUUUUCCACAACCCAUAGUGGUAUAGAAAAAAACUAUGUGGUGCAAAAAGAAAUAGCCCAUUUUAUACUGGUUAUGGGUUGGACCUAGAUCAAAUAUGGGCCACAUAAAGAUUUACACAAACAACAAAAACUAUUUAGAAUAAAUUUGACGUGAUUUAUACAAAAGCAUUAUAAUAAGGAGAAAAAUAAAAACAUCAUAAUACAUUUUAGUAUUUUAACCAAAGGGAUAUCUUGUUCCCAGCAGCUUCAUUAAUUCUAUUUAGAACGAAAUAUCAUCUUUUGAUUUUCGGAAGAAUAUAAAUACAUUUUUUUUAUAUAAAAAGAAAUCUACUAUUAUAAUGGUCUCUUCAAUUCCGAAAGUAAUUCACGAAAUUAAUGUAGUUUGAGUAAAAAUAGAAUUUAAACUUUUUUUGAGUUUGAAUGUGGAUUAGAAAAUAAGUUGUAAUUAAAAGACUUAUCAACUAAGUUUUUUCAUCAAAAAAAUAAUUAUAUAGUAGGUUUAAUCAUUGAUUCGAUUUAUAUACCUAUAUAAUGUUCAUGAUUUAGUCUUUAUAUCUAAAAAUUAUUUGUUUUAGUUUUAUUGUCAGAAGGUACUAAUGUGAUGACACUAUUAAUGAGUUUAUAUUUUGUUUUUAACUUUCAUACUUGCACUUUUUUACAUUUUAGUUCUUAUAGUAUCAAGUCUUUACUAUUUAGUUUUUAUACGAACAAAUUCUUGAUAUGUUUUACUCCAUAUCAACACUUUACCCUUUUUUUCCUCCUUUUUUCCUCUUUGGUUUUUUUCUCUCUCUGUACUUUUAAAUAACUUGUUUCUCCUUUUAUUUUGUAAAUGUUGUAUCUUUUAAUCAUCUUACAUAAACUAAUUUUGUCUCUCAAGGUUGAAGAAUUUAGGAGUGCUUCUUGAAAAAUAUAAGAUAAUUUGGGAGUAGCAAAUUUUGUAAGUACUCUUUACAAUAGAAAUAACUUACUCUAUCAUUUUAAUAUUAUGCUUGGAAGCAUAGAAGCUGUCAUUUCAUUUGUUUUGUAGAUCACAUGUUAGUAAAAAUGCCAUGCAUGCUCCUCUACAAGAAAUAAGGAAUGGAAGAUUUAGAGAAAGAAAAAGAAAAGAAAAUAAGAAAGGAUCUUAGCACUACUAAAAUCAUGUAUGCAUAUGACAAAACCAUUAAUUUUUGUUUUGAUAAUUUAAUAACCAUUAUAAAAGGUAUAACAUAUUUACACCACUAUUUCGAUUUCAUAUUAAUGUUAGAAAUCUAUAAGCUAAUUGAGUUACAUCGCAAUUAAUGGCAAUAACUAAAACAAACAAACUAUUCGUAUUACUUUGCAUAAAUGCCUACUUUCUUUUUACACAUAAGAUUAAAAAGACUACAAUAACGGAUAAGAGUUUCAUGCAAUGUAUAUAUAUCUUCAUACAUUUACUCCUUUUAACAUUUUACAUAUAUAUAUAUAUAUAUAAUACAUUUAAAGCAAACAACAAGAUUAAUACUGUAAAAACAUCAACAUCAAAACUCUAGUAUUUAGAAUAAUAAAGAAUUAAUUACUGUAAAAAUAUACAAGUUAAAAAAAAAUCUCUAAAUAUAAAGAGGAAAAAACAAGGGGACACUAUUAAAUAUUUUUUAACAUCUAUUAUUUUAUAUCUUCUACAUUAGUUAUAACACUGAUGUAAAAGAUGGGAUAUGUUCUAUAUUGAUUGAAAAACCAAUGUAGUAUGGAAAAAUAUUAUAACCAUUAUGAAUGUUGACUGAUGUUACAACCCUCAAUUAAAAUAAAAUAGAAAGCGUUGGAAACGACUUAUUACUUCAGUUAUAAAUAAUAAUCGAUGUAAUAUGUUAAUUCGUGCAAAAACAAAUGUGGAAAUUGAUGUAGCGAAAAUUAUUGAUCUAGAAUUUGAUGAGGAAGUUUGCUUCACGUUGACAAAGUGAAUUGUUGUAAUGGAAAAACAUGAUCUAGAGGAAGAUGAUUGUUAUGUUACUGUACACGAUGGAGGAGAUUUGUGACGACAUGGAGGACAAAAUUUGAUAGGUGCAAACUGUUAGAAAAGAUGGCUUUAAACUAGAGGGGAGGUGAAUUGUUUAAAGGAGUUUUCGCAAACUUUUCAAAGCUAGAAUGAAUUUAUUUCAGAAACCAAUUGAUUCAGCAAUUCAGUUAGCCAAAACAGCAAGCAAAAACUGUAGUACUAGAAAAAACAAUCGGUUGUUUAUACCAGCAAACAACAAACAAACUGAAAUUAAAGAGUUAGAGAUAGAGAGAUUGUACACAGUUGUUUAUACUGGUUCACUCCAAACUAGAGCUACAUCCAGUCUUCUCAGAAACCCUGAGGAUAACCACUAAGCAAUCACCACUUGAUCACUUACACCACAACCAAGAGAAUGACCUUGAAAACCUUAAGAAACACACUCUCCUUGGCCAACACUAAGAUUGCUGAUCUUGAGCACCUCAAGAACACACAACCAAUCUCAGCAAAACACACAAACAAAUUGUUCAGCAGUUUACAAAGAUUACACUUGUUACAAAUGAAUAUCUGAAAUCAAUACAAGUAGAAUUCUAUUCCAGCACCUUGAUCAAUCUCUAAACUCUUAAGCAAUCUCAGAACUCUUUGAAAAACUCUUAGUCAAAACUUUGUCUCAAGAUUCUUUUUCCUUAAAAACAGUUUUUCUGAAUUUAUACAAAGAUAUAGUUUGUUAUCAAAUCUUAACAAACUCUUAAUUGCAUUUAAAAUAGAUUGGUCAAAGCAUUUAAUGACUGGAGCAUAUUCAGUUAAAGCAUUUAAAGCUCAGUCAAAGAAAAAAGUUUUUCUGUUAUGGUUACAAAACAAACAAUCGGUUGUUUCCUCGAAUCAAUCGGUUGUUUUGUUACUUAACAGUUUUAACCAUUCAAAAACAGUUUUCAAACUUUCUCAAAACACCUAAGUGUAAACAAUCGGUUGUUUCGACAAAACAAUCGGUUGUUUCAACUUAGUUUGAAAAACAUUUUACUUUGAUAAAGAUUGAGAUGCUAAUUGCUUGAGAUUCAAUCUAAGGGUGGAUUACAACAUUAAACUACCCCAGAACAAAGCUUAAACCAGCACAGCAACAACAAGCAAAGCAGAGGCUUCAACAUCCUUCAAAGGAUUUGGAUUCUUCAAAACAUUGAACACCAAUUGGUUCAACACAAACACUAUAUAUGAGACAUUAAUGAAGGAAAACUUGCAAGGGCGUUAUGAAGGAGUUGUAGAGGCAACAAUGCAAAUUGUUGUGUUGUAGUAAUGAAGGCUUGUUGUGCGAAUAAUGUCACAACGAUGUAAACAAAUAUGAAACAACAGGAUGUAUGAACUUGGAGUGAGAGAGAUGAAAUAUGGGAUAACAAAAAAGAAAAAGAAAAAACAAAACAAAAAUGUAGUAACAAAGGCUAAAAAGUGAACCAAUUUAAAAUUCAUAUCUUAUUAGGGCCAAGAUGCUCUGUUUUAAAGAUGGGGAUUGAAACACUACUUUAUUCUAUGCUAUGAUUAAAAGGGUUAUUAAUUCUAGUGAGAUUCAUAGAUUACAAAUUGAUAAUGGUGCUGUUGCGGAUUCUAAACUCAUUGAGGAUCAUAUUUUGGAUUUUUAUAGAAAUUUUUAUGCUGAGUCUAACUCUAAUGGUUCGAAUACUAGUAGCAAGGAGGAUUUUAUUGGUUCCUAUAUCCCUGAAAUGUUUUCUUCUGAGGAGAAUAUUAUGUUGACUAAAUGCUCGGAUUAUUUGGAAAUCAAAAGGUCAAUUUUUAAUCUUAAUGGUAAUAGUGCUUCUGGUUCAGACGAUUUUGGUGUGUUUUUUAUCAUUCUUGUUGGGAGAUUAUUGGGAUGAAUGUUUGUAAAGUUGUUCAACAAUUUUUUAAACAAAAAUGAAUUCUUCCUGGAAUGAAUAGUAAUGUGGUUUCUCUAAUUCCUAAGACUCCGGAUGCGAAUUAUGUUAAAAAUUUCAGACCAAUUGCUAUUGUUAAUUUCAAAUUUAAGAUCAUCUCCAAAAUAUUGGCGAAUAGGCUUGCUAUUGUGGCUGCUAGAAUUAUUUCUCCAAAUCAAUAUGGGUUUGUGCAGGGUAGACAGAUUCAUGAUUGUAUUGGUAUUGCUUUUAAAGCUAUUUACAUGCUUUCUAAAACGAUUAGAGGAGGUAAUGUGACUUACAAAGUUGAUAUUCAUAAAGCAUUUGACACUCUGAGAUGGAAGUUCUUAUUGUUAGUUUUGACACACUUUGGUUUUCAUUCCUCAUUUGUUAGUUGGAUUAGUACAAUCCUUCGUUCAACUAUGCUUUCUAUCAGGAUAAUGGCAGUGUGGUGGGUUUUUUUUUUCUUGUAGUAGAGGUGUGAGGCAAGGUGAUCCUUUAUCUCCCUUGCUUUUCUGCCUCGCAGAGGAGGUUCUAAGUAGAGGCAUCUCUAAGCUUGUGAAUGAUAAGAAGAUUCAGCAUAUGGAUAGCCCUACAAGUUACAUCACUCCCUCUCACAUUUUAUAUGCUGCUGACAUCUUUGUUUUCUAUAGGGCAGAUAAUAAGUCUCUUAGAAAUUUGAGUAUCUCCCUUAAAACUUAUGGUGAUUUUUCUGGUCAAUAUGUUAAUAAUUAUAAAAGUAGCUUUUUCACCAUGGAUACUUGAUGUGAUUCAAAAACACAUAAAGAUGACCAAUGAUGUUAUACUUGAAGGAUCAUCUCAACAAGCAAAUAAAGAUGCCAUCAAUAGGAGGAAUGGUCAAGGACCAAAACAUCUGAAGUUCUUCCUAUUAGUAUUCUUAACAUAGAGGUCCAAGCCCAAAAAGCCCAAACCCAAGUGGAGGCCCAAGCCCAAACCAUGAGCUCAAAGGAUUACUAGGAGCAAGGCCAAGGCUUUGGGAGAUGAGCAUCAUUGGAUGUCUCUUUUUGUAAUUUCCUUUAAGUAAUUUUUAGUAGAACAUAAAAGGAAGGUGUAUAUAUAGAUAUAAGGGGUGUCAAUGUACAAAGAUAAGUUACACCUUCCAUGUGACAUAAAAAGAAUGUAUAGGUGUAGUUUUAGGAGGUGCCAAAGAAAGAAACCAAGUCACACCUCCCUUGUGACAUGUAAAUAGGCGCCAAAUUCAAAUGCUUCUCAUUUGAAUUUUCCCACUUUAAUUUCAGCCCUCUCACAAUAUAAAUAGAGGUGUUAUGCUCAUGCAAAUUUAGAUUUGAAAAUUGAAGUAUUGUUACUAUACACAUUUGUGUGUGAGUGUAAGAAUUGUUUCUCCUACUAGUCUUAUCUUGUGAGUUUGGGAAGCUCUCAAGUGGUGACAUCUUGCACUUAUCUUGGAUCAAUCACCAUCCAAGUGGCGUGUUCUUCCCUUCCAUGGCUUCAUUCACAUAAGUUCUUCUUGCUUUCAUCUUCCAUUUCCAUUUCCGCACCAUACUUCAAUUUCUAUUCGGUUAUGUUUGUUGAUCAAGAGUGGUCAAAGGCUUUGAAGAAUCCAAAUCCAAAGUGUUUGAUGCAAGGCUGAAGUUGGUGUUGUGUUUAAGGUAGGAUCUGGGUAGUUUAAAAGUGUAAUCCACUCUUUGUUGAAUCUAAAGCUAAUGUAUCCUUAAAACCUUUUUGAAAUUAAGUGUUUUUCAAACUAAGUGAAAAACAAUCUGUUGUUUUGUCGAAACAAUUGAUUGUUUUACUCUUAGGUGUUUUUGAAAAGGUUGAAAACUGUUUUGGUUGGUUGACUUGCUGUCAAACCAAAACAAUCGAUUGUUUCAUGGUUUCAAUCGAUUAUUUCUUUGAAAAUCCUAACAGAAAUAUGUUCUGGUGGUUGAAUUUGCUUUAAAUGAUUUCCAACUGAAUACGCUCCUCUAUUAAAUGUUUUGACCAAUCUUUGAAAAGUAUAAAUGGUUUGUUUAUGUUUUAAAAAAAAAUAAGAGAAACAGAUUUGAGUUUUCAGUUGUGAGAAAGAUAGCUUUCAAGUUUUGAACAUUCACAUCAAGCUUUGGGUUUUCUCAAGAAAGAGUGGAAUAGGAUUGCAUUUGUAUUGAUUUCAGAUUGUUCUGUAAACAAGUGUAAUUCGUUUUGAAUCUUCUGGAUUUUCUGGUGGUGUUGCCAAGGAGUGUUGUGUGCUCUGGAGGUAGUCAAGAUCAACAUUCUUGGUGUGUGUUGUGCCAAAGUGAGUGUGUUUUUUGAAGGGUUCAAGGUCACUACUUUGGUGGUUUGUGUGUGAUAUGAUUCCAAUAGCUAGAUAUAGAUGAUUCUUUGACAUUUUAUGGAAUCAACUUGAGUUGGAGAAUGAAUAAGCACUUUUAAUAGAAAUGGAUCAAUGUUCUAUGUUUCAAGAACUCACCAAAACUUGCACCAAACACCAAACUCACAUGGAAGACCCAUUUCUUGCCAAUUGAACCGAUUAAAUUGAACAAGAAAGUAAAUGAACCGAACAAAAUAAGUAAUUAAGCUAAAAGACCGAAUGGAAAGAAGCUAAGACAUGUUUAAGAAUUCGUAAGAACAUGGAGAUGAAAUGAAAAGAUGGAGAAGAGAGGAACUUAUGAGAAUGAAGAGCUUGGUUGAUGGUCACGCUACUUGAAGUGUGAAGGCUCCAAGAUAAGUGAGCAAUGCCGCCACUUGAGAGAACCAAGGCACUCAAGAUGAGACUAGGAAGAGGAGAAGACAAGUUCUCACACACUCCAUCACCAAUUUGGGAGAGUUUUGCUAUAUCAAUUCUCAAAAUCUCAAUUUUACAAGAGCCCACACCUCUAUUUAUAGUGUGAGGGUGCUAGGUGGGAAAAUUCAAAUGAAACUCAUUUGAAAUUCCCACAAAAAACAAGUCACAUGGGAGGUGUGACAUUUUUCUACUAAGACACCUCCUAAAAACUACACCUACACCCACUCUCCUAAGUCACAUGGACAAUGUGACUUUAUUUUACAUAUUCACACUCCUUUAUUUAAUAUUCACACCUCCUACAACUAUACAAGAGUAAUUCAAAUGAUGCUCUUUUAUUUAAUGCUUGGCCUUGCCCCUCAUGGGAUGGACUUGGGCUUUUUGGGCUUUGGCCUUCUUGGGCUUGGGCUUUGGGCUUGGGCCUCAUCUUUUGAAAAGACUAAUAAGAAGAACUUUAAAUGAUUUGGCCCUUGUCCAUUCUUCCUAUUAACAACAUCCUUUUGAUUCUCAUCAGUGUGUAAUCUGUUUUGAUUGCUUAGUGGAUUGCCUAGUGGCUUUUAGGGACUGGAUGUAGCUCUUGGUUUAAGAGUGAACCAGUAUAAACUGUUUGUGUAUCUCUUUCUUCCCUUAAACUCCUUUAAAUUUAGUUGUUAUUGCUUUACUGGUAUAAACAACCGAUUAUUUCGAAGAAACAACCGAUUGUUAGUGCUUUGUUGUUUUAUGCUUAAAUUCUUGGCUAACUGAAAUUUUGAUCUGGAUUCACACAAAGGAUUUUGUUCAAGCUGAAAAAGUUUUCAAAAACCCCUCUUAAACAAUUCACCCCUCUCUCGUUUAAUGCCAUAUAUUCUAACAAUGUUGUCUUGUUCUUCAAUUCUACUGAUUGUUCUUGUUUCUUGUGUUUCCUUUUCAAUUCUGCACUUAAUUCUUCAUAUCAAUAGGUUCAUUUGCUUUAUAUUGUGUUUAUAUUCGGUUUAAUGUGGUGUUCUUGCUUUCCUAUCAAUUUCUGCAUUCAAUUCUAGUAUUCUAUUCGGUAUUUGUUGUGUAAGGAGAUGACACUCAUGUGCAUGAGUUUGGUUCAUCAUUUGGAAGGCAUUGAACUCCAUUGAUGUUUCCUUAAGCCUCCUUAUUUUGUUCUUAAAGUGUCACAAAUUAAUGAAUCUCAAAAUCUACUUACAUUAAUACUUCUACAAGAUUCGUUACCAAAGUUCAACAUCUUCUUUCUUGUAGUCAUGGGGCUUUACCUUUUAAUUAUUUAGGGGUGCCUAUCUUUGUUGGUUCUCCAAAGUGUCGAUUUCUUCAAUCUUUGGCUGAUAAAGUCAAAUUGAAGCUAGCAUAUUGGAAAUGGAAAUCUCUUAGCAUGAUGGGUUGGAUCCAAUUGGUUAAUACAGUGAUUACUGGUUUUCUAGCUUAUAAUUUUAAGUUUUAACAUAUAUAAAUGACCGAUUUCUAUUCUUAAGCAAGUUGAGUAGUGGAGGAGAAAUUUUAUUUGGAGUGGUGAUGUUAUGAAAAAAGGCAUAGUUAUAGUUAAUUGGGAUAAAAAUAUGUUCUCCUCUUGAGAAUGGAGGAUUGAAGAUUAUUAAUCUUCAUCAUGAAAAUAAUGUGUAUCUUCUUAAGCUUACUUGGAAUUUUGCUUAUAGUAAUAAGCCUUGAUCUCUUCUCUUGAAAGUCAGUAUUCUUUAAUCAAAGUACCCAUUUAGAAUGGGUUAUAGAUUCUCCUCUAUUUGACAUGAGAUUAAACAGUUUUAUGACAUUAUUCUUAAACAUACUUUUUGGACUGUUGGUACAAAUACUUUUAUUAAUUUUUGGAAUGAUAAAUGGUGGGUUUGCGUUAAGAGUUUUAAUAAGAUAAUUGUUUUUUAUAAAGAAUUUGAUAUGCUUUAUAAUAAAAUAUGUUAUUUAGAUAAAAAAAUUUUAAAAAAAUUAAAAUUCUAAAAUUUUAUAAGAGUAAUGAGACUAUUUAAAAUUAGAGAAUUUAAAAAAGUAUAUACUUUAUCUUUAUAUUGUUUCAUUUAUUAACUCAAUUUUUUAUUAGCGCUUUGAGAGCCAAUAUUAAUUAAGAUUGUUUUUAACAUAGGAAAUUUUUCAACCAACAUGUAGACAACAAAUUUCAACCAAUAUCGUGAAAAUAAUUAUUACUAAAAAAAUAGAAACUAAUUUUAGAGAUAUAAUUAAUUAAUUAUUAUAUUGACUAAAUUAGAUAUUAUUUUAUAGAUUAAAAAAAUUAUUGGUAUCUAAAGUAGUUUCUAAAUUUAUUAACUAGUUUUUAAAUUGAUAUCUAAUUAAUUUAUAAUAUCUAAUUUAGUCAAUACAAUAACUAAUUAUUUUUUUAUCUAAAAUUAGUUUCUAUUUACUAUUUUAACUAUGAUUAAUCUAAUUGGUUUAUUUUGACCUUAAACGUUAUUUCAACUAACUUUGUGUUUUUAGUUAGAAUAAACACUCUGACUUGACAAUCUUAUGAUAAAGAAGAACCUCUAUACAGAAGAACCUGUAUACAGAAGAACCUCUAUACAGAAGAACCUCUAUACAGAAGCCUUGUCUUUUGGUCAAAUAAAAAAAAGGUUCAUGUCUAUUUACAACACAAAGUACAAAUAGUAAUUGAUGUGAUUUGUACAUAAAUAAAACAUUAUGAUACUAGAACUAUAAUUUCUAUUUGCUUUAGUUGAAUAUCUUCUUUUAUUCGAUUCGAUUUUUUGAAUUGUUUAUUUGACAAUAGUCGAUGCUAGUCACAAUAGAAAUUUCAACGAACUUAGUCAAUGAGCUAUAAUGAGUUAUAAAGAUAUAUCUAUAGAUAAAAAAGACACAAAUAAAAACAUUUUAUGUAAUUUUAUGUACAGUAGUGGGGAAUUAUGGGACAAAAAAUCCGCUUGGUUUCAGACUUGGUACAACUCAAAGUCAUCAUU